rnacentral:rRNA from 1 species
GAUGAACGCUAGCGGCAGGCCUAAUACAUGCAAGUCGAGGGGCAGCAGGAAUAGCAAUAUUUGCUGGCGACCGGCGCACGGGUGCGUAACACGUAUACAAUCUGCCUUCUACAGGGGGAUAGCCUUUCGAAAGAGAGAUUAAUACCCCAUAACACAAGAAAUAGCAUUAUUUUUUGUUGAAAGUUCCGACGGUAGAAGAUGAGUAUGCGGGUGAUUAGCUAGUUGGUGAGGUAACGGCUCACCAAGGCAACGAUCACUAGGGGAUCGGAGAGGGCUACCCCCCACACUGGUACUGAGACACGGACCAGACACCGACGGGAGGCAGGAGUAAGGAAUAUUGGAAGACGGAGGCAACUCUGAUCCAGCCAUGCCGCGUGCAGGAUGAAGGCCCUAUGGGUCGUAAACUGCUUUUGUACGAGAGAAAACCUAUUUACGUGUAGAUAGUUGAUAGUAUCGUAAGAAUAAGGAUCGGCUAACUUCGUGCCAGCCGCCGCCGUAAAAC